CUAACCCCUUCCAACCCUACCCGACGCCCUUAUUUCCCAAUUCCCUCUCCUUUCUCUCGUCCACACACCCGUCAAUCACCAGAACCUUGAAGUCACAAGAUUCAAUCAUAAACCAUCCAUCCUGUCCCUAUAUCCGCGAAUCCAUCCGAUUCAUUUCCAUUUUUAUCACUGUAAUUCAAAAACUGCAAAUCAAACCCUAGACCUAAAAGUACGCAACUGAAAUUCAUAUGUCCUUCCAUCAUAUUUCAAAUUGGAGCAUGCAUGUCCGAUUAUUAUCAUUAUUAUUCAUGUCCAUAGGUCAAACACAGUGACCUCUGGAAAUUAGAGCUUUUCCCGAUGGGUCUUCACUUUCAACGGUCGAUUCGUCCACUCUCGUGCCAAGACUGUUGUGAGUUUAUGCUUUCAAAUGGCUAAGGACCAACAUUCACUUGGUUUGCUGCCCUGCAGAAGGUCAGUACAUACAGACUCCCCUUUUUUACUUUGAAUUAAUCGCAUGGUUCUGUGUCCUUGAUGAUUACUUUGUUAAUUCUCUAUUGUUUAGGAUAGAUAUUAGUUGUGAAUCCAUAUUUUCCCCACCCUGUCUUUGUAUGCUAGUUUCACUGCUGAAUUGGAAAUCUUUUGAUUAACUUUACUAAGCCUCUAUGAUUAAGCUAAGUUAACUUUUGUGCAGAUUUUGUGCAUAACUCACCUCUGUUAGUUAAACAACACUUAUAUAAGCAUAACCAUGUGAGCUACACUAACUGAAUCAUGUUUCUUGGAUUGUUCUUGGUAUUUUGCAUCUCCAGUGAUGAGAUAAACUUGACCAACUUUCUUGUGACACUGUGUUGCUAUGUCCUGGUCUAGCAAACGACUCUCCCUAUAUUUUAUGUCUUAUACUUAACCUGUCCACUUUAAUGACCUUGGCUGAUAUAUUUGUAGUUGAUAACCUGCCUAUUUUGCAUAUUGAGUGAUCAAUGUAUACCUGUUACUCUUAGAGAAUGUUAAGGCUUCAUGAUUAAUUGAAUUAAAUCCUAUGCUAACAAUCUUGUAUGUGAUCUGUUAGUCAAGUAAUUGGUUCUAUGCAUGCUAUCAUGGAAUAAAAUCAGACCUUUGAACUCCUCUUAAGAACACUGUUAACUUCCCAACACUAAGCCAUCUCGACAUUUGUGAUGCUAUGUUGUUUUGCCUUAGUCCUAGGAGCAUAAUUGUGUCAUUGCUCAUGUUCUCAAGUUGAUUUGUUUAGGCUCUAGUUAGCAUCCUGUUCAUACUACUAUGAUAAGGUGAUAUUUGUGUGCUUCUUAUGAUAGUUGGAAACAAAAGAGACCAUAUAAUGAACUCUGUUAGUAUGUUAGAAGGCGUGCUCUCAUGUCUGAAUGUGAUUGACCCCUAUAAGAAUGCCAUCUCAAGAUUGCUGAUGUCCUGCUAGGUUGAGCCAUGAUAUUAUAAUAACCUGUAUACAUAUUCAUGCACUACGUUUUGCUAGUGAACCCGUUUGCAUAUCCAUGUGUUAGUAUACUUUGACAUGUUAGCCUAACUGUUAAAACGAUAAGAUAUUAAUGAGAAGUAUGCCUUCUCUUAAUUAUGUAAAGGGUUUUAGAAGCCACUGUGAACCUUUUUUAUGAUUUGAAUCUACUUAGUAGAAUUCUGAUACAUUAGACUUACAGUGGAACCAAUAAAACAAACACAUGUGCUCAUCUCUGUAUGAUGCUGAUAAUUUAAACUACUUGUUAACACUUCUGAGCCUAAAGAGAUAAGUGAAGAGGCAUAUCUAUGUGCAGUUGACUACCCGUGCCCUAUAACCUUAUUUGACUAUAUCCCCAUAGUGACUCCAUGCCUGCUAUAGUAUCUUAUUCUAUGAUGUGGAUUUUCUAAGUCAAUGUUGUGCCUUGGACUGUUCUCUGUAUUGUUAUAAACUACAAUAUCCUAUUUGCUUAAAGUUGGUAGAUCUGUAUGUGUCUGAACCUUAAAAAAGGGGUUUACCAUGACUCUUACACCUACUGUUUGUAUCUUGGUAAUAUGAAAUUGCUAUGUUGAGCCCUUUAUUUAUGUUUAAGCCUCUAAGGAAGAUUAAUAGUGGGUGGCUAAGGGUAUUUGGAUGUGAAAACUUAUUUUGUGGUUAUGACACCCCUCCUUGACACAAGCACUACUCGGAGUCCGUGAGGCACUCGUGAGCUCUGAAGUGUCAAGGGUUCAAAUGAGGGAUUAUAUCCAUAAAUGAGGAUUUACACCAAGCCUUUAGUCAUUAACUCUUAUUAAUUCUCAUAGGAUUAACACAAAUGAGGAAUGACUCUACUGUAUUCUUUAGCUUUUGUGCUUAUCAUUAUGUUAUUUCUUCCCCACAUGGAUAUACUAAUUAUUCUCUUUUCUUUUGUACGCAUGAAUUCAAAUUGGGCCUGAUGAACCCAUUUGGAGCUCAAGUCCAAUUUCCAGAUUUGGGUCAUUUCGUUCUAGCUGAGUUCACUGCUUGUGCUGGGCCUGGCUAUCAGCUGGCCCAUAUCGAGAGUCCAGUUCACAUUUCUCCUUCCUUUAAUUAUACUUGUUGUUCUUUACCGCUUCUGUGUGUAUACAUACUUUAGAAAAACUAAUCAUAUUGAAUGUGUUGAUAUUUG